rnacentral:rRNA from 1 species
GGCUCAGGAUGAACGCUAGGCGGGAGGCUUAACACAUGCAAGUCGAGGGGCAGCACGAGGUAGCAAUACUUUGGUGGCGACCGGCGCACGGGUGAGUAACGCGUAUGCAACCUACCCUGUACAGGGGGAUAGCCCGGAGAAAUCCGGAUUAAUACCCCAUAAUUAUAUUUGGAGGCAUCUUCAGAUAUUUAAAGCUUCGGCGGUACGGGAUGGGCAUGCGUGACAUUAGCUAGUUGGUAAGGUAACGGCUUACCAAGGCUACGAUGUCUAGGGGUCCUGAGAGGGUGAUCCCCCACACUGGUACUGAGACACGGACCAGACUCCUACGGGAGGCAGCAGUGAGGAAUAUUGGUCAAUGGGCGUAAGCCUGAACCAGCCAUCCCGCGUGAAGGAAGAAGGCGCUAUGCGUCGUAAACUUCUUUUCCGGAGGAAUAAAAUUUCGUACGUGUACGGAACUGAAGGUACUYCSGGGAAUAAGCAUCGGCUAACUCCGUGCCAGCAGCCGCGGUAAUACGGAGGAUGCAAGCGUUAUCCGGAUUUAUUGGGUUUAAAGGGUGCGUAGGCGGAUUAAUAAGUCAGUGGUGAAAACCUGCAGCUUAACUGUAGAACUGCCAUUGAUACUGUUAUUCUUGAGUACGGUCAAGGUAGGCGGAAUGUGUAAUGUAGCGGUGAAAUGCUUAGAUAUUACACAGAACACCGAUUGCGAAGGCAGCUUACUGGACCAUUACUGACGCUGAGGCACGAAAGCGUGGGGAGCGAACAGGAUUAGAUACCCUGGUAGUCCACGCCGUAAACGAUGAUCACUCGCUGUUGGCGAUACACAG